GGGGAUUUAGCUCAGUGGUAGAGCACUUGCCUAGCAAGCUCAAGGUCCUGGGUUCGGUCCCCAGCUCCA
rnacentral:tRNA from 1 species